AAUGAACGCUGGCGGCGUGCUUAACACAUGCAAGUCGUACGAGAACGCUUUAGCUUGCUAAAGCUAGUAAAGUGGCGCACGGGUGAGUAACGCGUGGGUAAUCUACCCUUGAAUCCGGGAUAACGUUGCGAAAGCGACGCUAAUACCGAAUGACAUCAAAAAGGCCUUGGUUUUUUUGAUCAAAGGUGGCCUCUAUAUAUAAGCUACUGUUUGAGGAUGAGCCCGCGUACCAUUAGCUUGUUGGUGGGGUAAUGGCCCACCAAGGCGACGAUGGUUAGCUGGUCUGAGAGGAUGAUCAGCCACACUGGAACUGACACACGGUCCAGACUCCUACGGGAGGCAGCAGUGAGGAAUUUUGCGCAAUGGGGGAAACCCUGACGCAGCAACGCCGCGUGAGUGAUGAAGGCUUUCGGGUCGUAAAGCUCUGUCAAGUGGGAAGAACAUACAUAAGAUCAAUACCCUUAUGUACUGACGGUACCACUGAAGGAAGCACCGGCUAACUCCGUGCCAGCAGCCGCGGUAAUACG
rnacentral:rRNA from 1 species